CCUACGGGUGGCUGCAGUCGAGAAUCAUUCACAAUGGGGGAAACCCUGAUGGUGCGACGCCGCGUGGGGGAAUGAAGGUCUUCGGAUUGUAAACCCCUGUCAUGUGGGAGCAAAUUAAAAAGAUAGUACCACAAGAGGAAUAGACGGCUAACUCUGUGCCAGCAGCCGCGGUAAUACAGAGGUCUCAAGCGUUGUUCGGAAGCACUGGGCGUAAAGCGUGCGUAGGCUGUUACGUAAGUCGAGUGUGAAAGGCGCGGGCUCAACCCGCGGACGGCACAUGAUACUGCGAGACUAGAGUGAUGGAGGGGGAACCGGAAUUCUCGGUGUAGCAGUGAAAUGCGUAGAUAUCGAGAGGAACACUCGUGGCGAAGGCGGGUUCCUGGACAUUAACUGACGCUGAGGCACGAAGGCCAGGGGAGCGAAAGGGAUUAGAUACCCGUGUAGUC
rnacentral:rRNA from 1 species